rnacentral:rRNA from 1 species
AGUCGAGAAUCAUUCACAAUGGGGGAAACCCUGAUGAUGCGACGCCGUGUGAGCGAUGAAGGCCUUCGGGUUGUAAAGCUCUUUCGUGAGGGAACAAGAGAGGUGGGCUAAUAACCUGCUGAUUUGAGAGUACCUUAUAAAGAAGCACCGGCUAACUCCGUGCCAGCAGCUGCGGUAAUACGGAGGGUGCAAGCAUUAAUCGGAAUUAUUGGGCGUAAAGGGCGCGUAGGCGGAUAGGUAAGUCAGAUGUGAAAUUUCGGAGCUCAACUUCGAAGCUGCAUUUGAAACUACCGAUCUAGAGGAUAGGCGGAGAAAACGGAAUUCCACGUGUAGCGGUGAAAUGCGUAGAGAUGUGGAAGAACACCUGUGGCGAAAGCGGUUUUCUAGCUUAUUCCUGACGCUGAGGCGCGAAAGCAAGGGGAGCAAA